GCCAGACUCCUACGGGAGGCAGCAGUGAGGAAUAUUGGUCAAUGGGCGCGAGCCUGAACCAGCCAAGCCGCGUGAGGGAUGAAGGUACAGAGUAUCGUAAACCUCUUUUGUCAGGGAACAAAGGCGGGGACGUGUCCCCGGAUGAGUGUACCUGAAGAAAAAGCAUCGGCUAACUCCGUGCCAGCAGCCGCGGUAAUACGGAGGAUGCGAGCGUUAUCCGGAUUUAUUGGGUUUAAAGGGUGCGUAGGCGGACGCUUAAGUCAGCGGUAAAAUUGCGGGGCUCAACCUCGUCGAGCCGUUGAAACUGGGUGCCUUGAGUGGGCGAGAAGUACGCGGAAUGCGUGGUGUAGCGGUGAAAUGCAUAGAUAUCACGCAGAACCCCGAUUGCGAAGGCAGCAUACCGGUGCACAACUGACGCUCAGGCACGAAAGCGUGGGUAUCGAACAGGAUUAGAUACCCUGGUAC
rnacentral:rRNA from 1 species